GGCCUGCGGGGCGCGCGGGGGCGGAGUUCGGUGCCCGCCCACCUGCCCGGGCGACAAUGCGGUGACCCGGGGCGGCCCUCGCCGCGCGCCGGAGACGUGCGCCCUGGGGCCAAGUAGCAGCAGAGGGAAGAGGCCAGGGUGUGACCGCACAAGGAAGUGCCAGCUGGAAGGGUAGACACUGCAGGAGGAAGCCACCCUCUCCCCAAAGGGCCAGUGCGGCUUACCAUACACAUGGGAACUAUGAAGCCCAAAGAGCAGCCUGAACCCCAGCCUGCUGUUCCUCACCCCAUGACCUGGGGCAAGUCAUGGAGGCUCUCUAAGAAGAUGCUGGCCUUGGUGGUGCAUGCCUGUAUUCCCAGCAUUCAGGAGGCUGAGGCAGGAGGAUCCCUGAGAGUUUGAGGCCAGCCAGGGCUUAGCAGAAGCCUGUCUCAAAUAAGACAAAACAAAAACAAAAGAAAGAAUCAGAAGGGCCUUCCAUUUGGGACUGAAGAAGACAUUCAAAAUCCUCAGGCAAGACUGGGUGUGUGGCAGUGCUUAAGAGGCUGAGGUGGAAGGAUGUCAAGUUCAAGACCAGCCCACCUAGUGACAGCCUGUCUCAAAAAGGAAAAUAAAAGACAUCCUCAGGUGAGUGAAGCCUAGAGCAGGUGCUCAGGCAGGAGGCUCUGGUGGUCUUUAGCAACGCAGACAAAUGCAGUUCCUGUGACCUGGGGUGCAGGUGGCAUAUUAGCAGCCAUGUUUAUAUAUAUAUAUAUAUAUAUAUAUAUUUUUUUUUUUUUUUUUUUGGUUCCAGGGAUUGAACUUGGGACCUUGUGCUUUCGAGGCAGGAGGAGGAACCACUGAGUGAAAUCCCCAGCCCCACAUUUAUAUUUCUUAAAAAUGACCCUGUAAACCAGUCUUCCCCAGAAUCUAAAGCUUUUGAAAAAUGCCCUUGGCCUUGGGAGCUCCUCCUAGGUCUCUGCAGGCCGUGUAACUGGGGAUCCAGGCCAGAGCCUCGCUGGGAGCCCCUGCAGCGCCAGGUGCGGCCGGCCCUGGGAGCUAGGCCGAAUUCCUG
rnacentral:lncRNA from 1 species